UGGCCUGUUAGAUGCCUGGGUAAAUCGAUGCGCUUAACGCAUCGAACUCCGGGUAGACCGGCAGGCUCGAGACCGGGAGAGGUGUAGGCUACUCGCGGGGUAGGGGUAAAAUCCUGUAAUCCUGCGGGGAGGACCAGUGGCGAAGGCGCUACACUAGAACGGCUCUGACAGUGAGGGACGAAGCCCUGGGGCGCAAACCGGAUUAGAUACCCGGGUAGUCCAGGGUGUAAACGCUGCAGACUUGGUGUCGGUGAUCCUACGAGGGUUGCCGGUGCCGGAGAGAAGUUGUUGAGUCUGCCGCCUGGGGA
rnacentral:rRNA from 1 species